GACGAACGCUGGCGGCGUGCUUAACACAUGCAAGUCGAACUGUGAAGCGCCUUCCUUUUUGGUGGGUGUGGAUGAGUGGCGAACGGGUGAGUAACACGUGAGUAACCUGCCCCCUUCUUCUGGAUAACCGCAUGAAAGUGUGGCUAAUACGGGAUAUUCUGGGUCUGUCGCAUGAUGGGUCUGGGAAAGAUAUUGUUUCGGUGGGGGAUGGGCUCGCGGCCUAUCAGCUUGUUGGUGGGGUGAUGGCCUACCAAGGCGGUGACGGGUAGCCGGCCUGGGAGGGUGGACGGUCACACGGGGACUGAGACCCGGCCCAGACUCCUACGGGGGGCAGCAGUGGGGAGUAGUGCACAAUGGGCGCAAGCCUGAUGCAGCGACGCCGCGUGAGGGAUGGAGGCCUUCGGGUUGUGAACCUCUUUCGCCAGUGAAGCAGGCCUGCCUCGUUUGUGGGUGGGUUGACGGUAGCUGGAUAAGAAGCGCCGGCUAACUACGUG
rnacentral:rRNA from 1 species